GAUGAACGCUAGCUACAGGCUUAACACAUGCAAGUCGAGGGGAAACGAUAUUGGAAGCUUGCUUCCGAUAGGCGUCGACCGGCGCACGGGUGAGUAACGCGUAUCCAACCUGCCCACCACUUGGGGAUAACCUUGCGAAAGUAAGACUAAUACCCAAUGACGUCUCUAGAAGACGUCUGAAAGAGAUUAAAGAUUUAUCGGUGAUGGAUGGGGAUGCGUCUGAUUAGCUUGUUGGCGGGGUAACGGCCCACCAAGGCGACGAUCAGUAGGGGUUCUGAGAGGAAGGUCCCCCACAUUGGAACUGAGACACGGUCCAAACUCCUACGGGAGGCAGCAGUGAGGAAUAUUGGUCAAUGGGCGAGAGCCUGAGCCAGCCAAGUAGCGUGCAGGAUGACGGCCCUAUGGGUUGUAAACUGCUUUUAUAAGGGAAUAAAGUGAGUCUCGUGAGACUUUUUGCAUGUACCUUAUGAAUAAGGACCGGCUAAUUCCGUGCCAGCCGCCGCAGUAA
rnacentral:rRNA from 1 species